ACCUACUCCCUCUUAUUAUAAAACGCGGUAUCAAAUAAGUAUCGGCUUUUGUACUACCUUUAAUCCACCUUUAAGUACGACCUUGAAAAAACGUUAUUACAAAACGCAGUUUAUCGCAAGUCCUAUUACUAUCUGUAGUACAAAACAUAAACCAUCGAGCCCCCUAGUUUAACUGCAGUACUUAGUCGACAAACGUCAAAUUCCGACAUUAUUUACUUUUGAGGUUAUUUGUUUUGUGAUGAAAAAAACGAAAGUGGAUAUAAAUAUGUGUGAUUUGGAAUACUUGGAUGUGUUAGAAUACUAUUGAGAGUGUCCGGGGACCCAACAGAAUGCGUCAUCGACAAAAUCUCUUCAAAUUACCUGACGACAAUUUUCGAUAUAAAUAUCGAUUUACGUUUUUCGAAAUAAUAGUCAAUUGAAUGCAUGAUGAUAAUCCAGGAUGAUCCUAUGAUGCUCAACUGGGCUCGCCAUAAAAUUCAAGACUAUUUUGGCGUUUUGCACGCCGUAUCUCUGCCAGUAAUAUGCAAUGUUUGUAAAAGACUGGAAGCUUGCUAAAAUGUACAAAAAUGCCUAGAUGAGAAAGGGAACAAGUUUGUGUGAUGAAGAACAGUGUCCAACAUGUAUCAGUGCAUUUGACUGUAUAAAUAGACAUCGGAAUAAAAUAUAAUUUUCUACUUUUA